GAUGAAGAACGCAGCCAAAUGCGAUAAGUAAUGUGAAUUGCAGAAUUCCGUGAAUCAUCGAAUCUUUGAACGCACAUUGCGCCUUCUGGUAAUCCAGGAGGCAUGUCUGUCUGAGCGUCAGUACACUUCUUAAGUCAUAAUUUUUUUUAAGACUUAGUCCUGGGGGCGUUUAUACUUUAUGUAUCUUUCUCCCCUUUAAUGUAUUGAUAUAUUAUUGCCCGUGUUUAUUUGGCCUUAGUUGUAGCAAUUUCUACUCAACUUUAAGUGCCGGUUAUACGGUUGCAUGUCAAUUUUUAAUAAUUAAAAUAAACAUUCGUUUUGCUUUAAUUUUUUAACUCUUGACCUCAGGUCAGAUAGGGAUACCCGCUGAACUUAAGCAUAUCAAUAAGCGGAGGA
rnacentral:misc_RNA from 1 species